rnacentral:lncRNA from 1 species
CUUUGGGAGGGAGGGCUGGGAGUCUGUCGUCGUCGGAGAGCCUAGCUGGCAGGGGCGUUAAUUAGCCUAGCCUGGCAGCUCCCAUCAUCCCAGUCUCAAAGAGAGACAGCUCCCCUGGCACCCCAAGGAGUGGCCUAGAUGUCAGUGUGGCUCUGUGGGGCUCCUGUGGAAAUGUACUAGUGGGUGUUCUCAACAGAUCAGCCCUGUCUGUCUGUGAGCUGUAGGUGAACCCCGCACGGUUUAAUACCCAAGCCUGACCACAUAACAAAACCUUGGAGUACCUCAGGGCUGAAUGGACACGUCGUUUUGAUUAAGCAACAGGGUAUCCAGUGCACCCAUGACAAAGCUUUCGAUAAGAAAGACAGACCUACAGCCAGGUCCAGAAGGCUAGAUUCUGAGCCAUGGCUGUGGGAGGUGGGCUUCAGAGGAGCACCAGAGCAGCCUAUCAGGAUGCUGGGUGUCACCACACCCAGCUAGAGGUCAGAGGUCAGACCUGAGAGAGAGAACCAGAGAGAGAGGAUGGAGACCAGAGGGCGCAGUACCAGGGCAGGGGUUCUGUUCUGGACCCCUGCUCCUCAACACCCCUCUCCCUCCACCUCCAUAGACUCAGACGUGGACUGGUGGGAUGAGGAUGAGGAGGAAGGUGGGGACAGGAAAGAAGAGGAAGAAGAGGACUUCCACAGCCAGAUGGAUGAGAAUGGGAUUAUAGGACUGGAGAACGCCUUGCAGAAUGUGGGUCUGGGAAAAGAGGAGGAGGAGGGAGAGGAGGAGGGAGUGGAGAAUGGAGAGGAUGAUCUGCCCUGGUACUCUGGAGCCUUGGACCCAGAGGGACCCAGGGAGGGGUUCCUGUCCUCCACUAGGGCAGGUGGGAUUGGGCUGGACCAGAGGUUGGAGCAGGUAGACCCAUUGGAGGAGCUGAGUUAUAACCUGAGUGACCUGCAGAACUCUGAGCCUCUGUCCCAGUCUGAGCCACCUGGAGAGGACACACACACCCUGUCAUUCGAUGUCCUGGAGGCCAAGGACAGUGUGGAGAUCUGGAGUGAGGAUGAGGAGCAGCAGCAAAAGUAUGAAGAGGUGCAGAGCUGGUGGUCCACAGGCAGCGGAUGGAGCAUCUCCCAGAGAGAGACAGACAGCUGGACAUGACAGAGGAUGAAAGGAAAGUGGAGGAGGAUGGAGAGGAGGAGGAGGAGGACAGCGAGCCUCAAGCACACACUGAUAUGAUGUCAUGUCCUGUAAUAGCGGGGGCUGGGUCAUGCUGGGAUCAGGGCCAUAGUGUCAGAGGAGAAGAGAGAGAGGUCAAUGCCAUAAGAAGUUACAGUGCCGACCUACAAAUAGAAGAGACUAGUGAACUCUCUGAGAGUGACAACAGAGGGGGGACACGGUUGGUAGUGAGUGACAACAGAGAGGGGACACGGUUGGUAGAGAGUGACAAUAGAGGAGGGACACGGUUGGUAGAGAGUGACAACAGAGGUGGGACACGGUUGGUAGAGAGUGACAACAGAGGGGGGACAUGGUUGGUAGAGAGUGUCACCUGACAAGCCACGAGCCAUGGCUCGAUCCCCUCAGAAAGGCUGGCAUGCACGCUCACAGUCCCCUCCUCACUGCAGCACCCAGGACAGGAGCCUCCGGACCCACAGGGAGAGUCCCAGCCCCAACCCAGGAGCCAUGACCCUGACAUUGACGAGGGCUGGAGCGGGCCACUGACCUACCCCACCCCAGACUUCUCUGUUAUCACUCUCUAAGGUUGGUAGAGAGUGACAACAGAGGGGUGACACUGUUGGUAGAGAGUGACAACAAAGGGAGGACAUUUUUUUAUUUUAUUUAUUUCACCUUUAUUUAACCAGGUAGGCUAGUUGAGAACAAGUUCUCAUUUGCAACUGCGACCUGGCCAAGAUAAAGCAUAGCAGUUAGACACAUACAACACAGAGUUACACAUGGAAUGAACAAAACAUACAGUCAAUAAUACAGUAGAAAAAAAAAAAGAAAAAAAGUCUAUAUACAGUGAGUGCAAAUUAGGUAAAAAAAAGGGAAUUAAGGCAAUAAAUAGGCCAUGGUGGCAAAAGUAAUUACAAUAUGGCAAUUAAACACUGGAAUGGUAGAUGUGCAAAAGAUGAAUGUGCAAGUAGAGAUACUGGGGUGCAAAAGGAGCAGAAUAAAUAAAUAAAUACAGUAUGGGGAUGAGGUAGAUAGAUGGGCUGUAUACAGAUGGGCUAUGAACAGGUGCAGUGAUCUGUGAGCUGCUCUGACAGCUGGUGCUUAAAGCUAGUGAGGGAGAUGGGAAUCUCCAGCUUCAGAGAUUUUUGCAGUUCGUUCCAGUCAUUGGCAGCAGAGAACUGUAAGGAAAGGCGACCAAAGGAGGAAUUGGCUUUGGGGGUGACCAGUGAGAUAUACCUGCUGGAGCGUGUACUACGAGUUGGUGCUGCUAUGGUGACCAGUGAGCUGAGAUAAGGCGGGGCUUUACCUAGCAGAGACUUGUAGAUAACCUGUAGCCAGUGGGUUUGGCGACGAGUAUGAAGUGAGGGCCAGCCAACGAGAGUGUAUAGGUCGCAAUGGUGGGUAGAGAGUGACAACAGAGGGGUGACUUCUCCAAGGUAGAGCCCAGGGUCCGCUUCCCCAUGAACGGCUUCACCCUCCACCCCCCAAGAGCAAAGGCUCCCCCAGAAAGAGGUCUCUGUCAGUGGAGCCCGCCCUGGUGUUCAAGUCCCCUGCUGACAUAGUGAGAGAGGUGCUGCUGAGCAGUACAGACGGACCCCCUCCCCCCUCAACCCCCAAUGGGCCCCACAGGCCCCUAAACUCCACGGUGCCAGAGGACUUCAGAUGCCCACAACAGGCCAGCACUCUGGUACAGCAGCUGCAGGAGGACUACAACAGGCUGCUGACCAAGUAUGCUGAGGCAGAGAACACUAUUGAUCGGAUGCGUCUGGAAGCCAAGGCAGUCUAUAUAAAUGGGCCUCUACUCUGACCCUCCCAAUUGCAGUCACGCUGUCCAAUCAGGUGUGCUCCAUGAAGGUUAAAAAGUCAUGACCUUAACCUUUCCCCAAGCUCAGAGGGUAGAGCUCAGCUCAGGCUCCAUUCACCUGAAUGAACAGGCUGCCCACCAAGGACCUGGUGGAAUCUCCCCUGUCCGUCCCUCCUCAACGGCCUCCUCUUCCUCCAGAAGCCUGGGCCCUGGAGUUGGAGAGGGCUCUCUCAAAGCAGACUGACAGAUUCCUCCACCAGGUGCAGACAUUUGAAGAGCUCCUGAGGAGAGGGAAACUCAAACCGUUUGAGCAGAUGGAGGGAGUUGGAGGGCCGUAUAUUCCAGUGUGGGAUGCGCUUGGAGGAGCUCAAAGAGCAGCUGGAGCAGACUGAACAGGACUGACCCACCUCAGAGGCCCCUCCCACUCUACCGCCUUACCCCACCUCCUACUCCAUGCCAGCAGGGGGCAGCAAGCACAUGCCACUCCCUGAGUUACCAGUUUCAGGGAGGUGCCCAGACUGCUAGACCUGGAUCUGACAGAGGGAGACCAUGACUCUCCUGAUGCAGGAGAAGAAGCCACACAUGCAGGCGGUGAGGGGACAAGAGAGGGACCACACCCAGGGACCAGGAGGGAGGAGGGAGGAGGGCCACACAAGUCUCCCUCAGAGACAGCCAAUGCUAGGUCAGAAGGACGCUACAUUCAUCCCAAUGGCAAGACCAAGGACCAGCAAAUCAGUUCUUUGUUCCCCUAAGGACCUCAGCCAAUCCACUGCAUUUCAUGGCUCGCCUGCCAAUGACAGCAAGAGGUCAGAGGUCAGGAAGUCUUGUGGCAGCAGCCUCACCAGUCUGGGGGAGAGUACUGCGUCAGAGAGGAGGGGCUCCAAACUGCAGCCUGGGACCAGGAGAGUGUCAUCUCAGGUCAAUUACUUGAGAGACUGUAUCAAGCUUCCAUUACAUUUUUGACUGCUUAUUCACCUAUCUGGUGUCUGCUGUGAAAGACACAGUCAUGACUGAAAACACAAUGUAAUUGCAUCUAACUUGUUUCCAAAACAUGUUCAACCAACAAAGAAAUAUCUGAAUUUUUACUUUUUAAUAAUUUAACUGACACUCUUAUCCAUAGCUAGGUGGGACAACCACAUAUCAUAGGCAUAGUAAGUACAUUUUUCCUCAAUAAAGUAGCUAUCAGCAAAGUCAGAGCUAGUAAGUGGGGGAAAAGUGUAUAGGUCUAUGCAUAUGAAUAAUAAUGUUGAAUAAUAAGAAUGUUGUUCAUUUAUCUUGACAAUUCAGCAAUAUCUUCUAAACCAGCAAGAGUAACUUGUCUCUCAAACCCUCUGUGUGGAAUAGGACAGGAUCAUCUCACCAGAGAUGUGGGCUCUGAGAGCAGUCACCUGACUCCUGCAGCACCCAGUCCCUUCCACCAGAUGGCCACAGUGAGUGAAGCCAUCCAGUCUCUACAAGUGGAAAUGAGCAGACUGAAAGUGCGACUAGAGGGCAGUCUGAGAUAGACCAACCCUCCCAGUCUUGUCAGAGCUCCCCCUCAGCCCAGAACGACCACACACACCCUCUCAGCUGAACACCUUGCAUUAGGUCUGCUCAGCGAAGGAGCGAUGGUGGUAGAGAGAGGAAGAGGGGCUACGAGCAGGAGGAGGAGGAUAGGGCUCCGAGGUCAACUCCUAGAACAUCAGCUUUUGUACCUCGACAGCCUCUAAGACCUGAACUGGAUAUCAGGGAGUCAUGGGCUGUAUCCCAAAUGGUACCCUAUUCCCUAUAGGGCUUUGGUCAAAAGUUGUGCACUUUAUAGGGAGUAGGGUGCCAUUUGGGACUCACCUGGGACACAGAUUACCCUUUACAUGCAUACAUACAGUACACUACACAAUACACUUCACAAUACACUUCACAUUACACUUCAACUAUACAUUUCACAACACACUUAACUAUACAUUCAUCAUUUACUAGAGUGUUAUUUUUGCUGGGUACCCUAGGUGUAAGUCAUCUGGCAAAAUAUUGAUUUUUGUUUGUUUUAUCUCCAGCGACAGAUUCGGUGCAUGCCCAGUCCACACCCAGAUAUCGGUCCUCCAGACGUAUCCCAGAGUCCCCUGCAUCACGUGGCAGAGCAGAGACAGUCAGGAACAGAGGAGCCCACAACAACCAGACACUGAGGUGACACUGAGGCUAUCCACAGUCACACUGGUCUUCAUUCUCAUCAAUGUUCUAUGUGUGGGAGGUCUGAGACAUAUUGGAACACAAGCAGUGAACACGCAUCUGGACAUCUGAACAGCUAUCACUAUUUGGAGGAGGACUUCUACUUCAAUGAGUCAGAGGCGAAAGACAUAUUGAUUAUCGUGGACCAGGCCGAAAUCCCCGACACUUGAAGAAGGAGGAGACGGUGCUAUAGAGGCCGAUGUGCUGGAUACCUGACGAGACUUCGUUGGAGAGUGGAUAAAUCACCUCUAACCUCCGUUCUAUUGGUGAAACUCAAACAGGAAGUACCAGUGACGCGCUCAAUACAGAAGUGGUUCGAUGAAGCGGAUGCUAAGCUACAGGACUGUUUCACUAGCACAGACUGUAAUAUGUUCUGGGAUUCAUCCGAUGGCAUUGAGGAGUUUACCACAUCAGUCAUCAGCUUCAUUAAUAAGUGUAUCAACGAUGUUGUCCCCACAGUGACCUUAUGUACAGUUGAAGUCAGAAGUUUACAUACACCUUAGCCAAAUACAUUUAAACUCACUUUUCACAAUUCCUGACAUUUAAUCCUAGUAAAAAUUCCCUGUCUUAGGUCAGUUAGGAUCACCACUUUAUUUUAAGAAUGUGAAAUGUCAGAAUAAUAGUAGAGAUAAUGAUUUAUUUCAGCUUGUAUUUCUUUCAUCACAUUCCCAGUGGGUCAGAAGUUUACAUACGCUCAAUUAGUAUUUGGUAGUAUUGCCUUUAAAUUGUUUAGCUUGUGGUCAAACAUUUCGGGUAGCCUUCCACAAGCUUCCCACAAUAAGUUGGGUGAAUUUUGGCCCAUUCCUCCUGACAGAGCUGGUGUAACGGAAUCAAGUUUGUAGGCCUCCUUGCUCGCACACACUUUUUCAGUUCUACCCACAAAUGUUCUAUAGGAUUGAGGUCAGGGCUUUGUUAUGGCCACUCCAAUACCUUGACUUUAUUGUCCUUAUGCCAUUUUGCCACAACUUUGGAAGUAUGCUUGGGGUCAUUGUCCAUUUGGAAGACCCAUUUGCGACCAAGCUUUAACUUCCUGACUGAUGUCUUGAGAUGUUGCUUCAAUAUAUCCACAUAAUUGUCCUCCCUCAUGAUGCCAUCUAUUUUGUGAAGUGCACCAGUCCCUCCUGCAGCAAAGCACCCCCACAACAUGAUGCUGCCACCCCCGUGCUUCACGGUUGGGAUGGUGUUCUUCGGCUUGCAAGCCUCACCCUUUUUCCUCUAAACAUAACAAUGGUCAUUAUGGUUGAACAGUUCUAUUUUUGUUUCAUCAGACCAGAGGACAUUUCUUCAAAAAGUACGCUCUUUGUCCCCAUGUGCAGUUUUAAACCGUAGUCUGGCUUUUUUAUGGCGGUUUUGGAGCAGUGGCUUCUUCCUUGCUGAGCGGCCUUUCAGGUUAUGUCGAUAUAGGACUGUACAUUCGUCUCUAGGAGACAGAAUGUGUCUCUUACAUAAGUAUUCAGACCCUUUGCUUUGAGACCAGAUUGUGUUGAGGCACAGCUCUGGGGAAGGGUACCAAAAAAUGUCUGCAGCAUUGAAGGUCCCCAAGAACACAGUGGCCUCCGUUCUUUUCUUAAAUGGAAUAGGUCUGGAACCACCAAGACUCUUACAAGAGCUGGGCGCCCGGCCAAACUGAGUCAUCGGGGGAGAAAGGCCAUGGUCAGGGAGGUGACCAAGAAACCAAUGGUCACUCUGAAAGAGCUCCAGAGUUCCUCUUUGGAGAUGGGAGAACCUUCCAGAAACCCAACAUCUCUGCAGCACUCCACCCAUCAGGCCAAACGGAAGCCACUCUUCAGUAAAAUGCACAUGACAGCCUGCUUGGAGUUUGCCAAAAGGCACCUAAAGAACUCUCAGACCGUGAGAAACAAGAUUCUCUGGUCUGAUGAAAGCAAGAUUGAACUCUUUGGCCUGAAUGCCAAGUGUCACGUCUGGAGGAAACCUGGCACCAUCCCUACGGUGAGGCAUGGGGGUGGCAGCAUCAUGCUGUGGGGAUGUUUUUCAGCGGCAGGGACUCGGUAUCUAGGGAAAGAUGAACGGAGCAAAGUACAGAGAGAUCCUUGAUGAAAAUCUGCUCCAGAGUGCUCAGGACCUCGGACUUGGGCGAAGGUUUACCUUCCAACGGGACAACAACCCUAAGCACACAGCUAAGACAACGCAGGAUGCCCUUCACUGGCCCAGCCAGAGCCCGGACUUGAACCUGAUCAAACAUCUCCGGAGAGACCUGAAAAUAGCUGUGCAGCGAUGUUCCCCAUACAACCUGACAGAGCUGAGAGGAUCUGCAGAGAAGAAUGGGAGAAACUCCCCAAAUACAGACCGGAGGACGGAGAGAGAGACACGGGUCCCGCCCACAAAGGCACCCGGCCAAUGAGCUCCCCCCACAGAGAUGUGGGAGGCAUGUCCUUUGUAGCCCCGACCCUUCCAUGCUGGGCAGUGUGCCGCUGGUCCAUUGUGUGCCAGUGUGCCCGCCAGUUCUGUACUACUCCAGCCCAGUGAUAAAGGCAGCUCCAUCCCACCCCGAGCCCAUCUAUGUGUCUCUGAGUGGGGGCGUGGCCUCUGGGGUCAGGGGUUGUGAGCAGGUCAGAGGUGGAGUUGGCCGUUCCGUCUGCUGACCAGCGCUCUCUGAGCCAUGCCGUUGAGGCGGCCAGGGGGAUGAGGGAGGCCUCCAAACGCAUGGCCCGCUCCAUCGCCGCUGAACUGCACCACCAGAAGGCGCUGUCACAGUCCUGCAUGCACAGAUGGAUCAGACCAGAAAUACACCAGGGUCAUAUUUAUUAAGCACCAAGCAGAAGAAAACCGACUGAAACGGGGAGGGACUUCCUGAAUUUGUCCAAUAAGAAACGCUUGUUUCCGUUGCAAAACGUUUUGUUACGGUUUGCACUAAUGAAUACGACUAGGCAAGUCUUUGGACUAACCACUGUGAGGACACAGAUGUCUCUAAAUGUGCCGUUAUGUGUACUGUACACUUAAUAUUCGGUGUAAGAGUUUGAUAUGUGGAGUAACAUGAAGCAAGUGCCUGGGUACGGAUACUAGGACCUCAACCCAGUCAUUAAGCCACUGGCUUCUUUGGAACUAUUUGAUCGUCACCCAGUGGCUCAGCACUUAUAGUAAGGUAGGGUCUACACACACUGUACUUUAUACAGGUUACUACAGGUUAUAGGUUACUUUGUACAGUACAUGUUAUAGCUUUAGAUCAAAGGUGGAGUGCCAAUAUUGCCAUCUCAGGUAUCAUCUAGAAACAACAAAAAUCCAUCUCUUACUCAUAAAAUGCACUUGAAUCUGAAUUAUUUAUAUAUGAAUGAUUUACGUUUCAAAAUAACGGACAUAUGCUCGUUGAAUGUUUAGUUUGCUUUGAAACCUGGAAUAUUCUUUUCACAUUUGUUUUGUUACAUUUGAACAAUGACUGUGACAAAGAGAAAAGAAAUAGCUGCUAUGGAUCUUCAGGUGAGGAGAUUAACUACUCACACAUUGAUUUCUUCAAUUUUUUUACCCUAAUUUAUUGAUUCUAAAUCAUUUGUUUUGUAUUUUGUUCUUGAUCAUUUUUGUAUUGUGUGUAAUAUUUAGUUAAUAAGGUUACUAAUUGGUGUCAGUGUUACAGUAGUGUAAACUUGUACCCAUCAGGAAAAUAUUUUAUCCGAAAAAUAAGCACGUUUGUGUAUUAAUAGAGUUUGUGUUGAACACAAUAAUAAGAUUUCAGAAAUACACAUUUAUAGGAUUUCAGAAAUGCAGAUUUGGAAAAAUCUAGAUUCUGG